AAGGCCCCACAAAAAAAAGGAAAGUUCACAUCUAUCAACAUAAACACAAUAUAUAAAGGAAAGAGCGUUGAGCAGCAGAAGACACCAGUAACACGUCAACAUGGUUUGCAAAGCUUGGGUAAAGUGGGCAGCGUCCGGCGCAUGCCGCCUCCGGCCAAUUUACCAAGUCUGAAAAGUGAGAAUAGUGGGAACGAUCCGAACAUAACAUUAGUUCCAACAGGGGGAGCAGGAUGGGGCAACAAGGAGAAAGAGGAGAAGGGAGGCAGUGGCAGUCCGCAGCCAUCGUCGCAGCAGCAGCAGGUUACUACAGCGCAAUCUCUGGGGCAAACAAGCAAG